GUAGGCUGCGUUCGGAGAUUGAGAAUAUUAGUUAAGGAAAACAGUGUUGUAUAUAAAAAUAAUAUAAUAAGAAUAUUUUAUAUUAAUAAAUGCAGUAAAAAAUUCACCGAGUCUAUAAAAUAAAAAAAAAAAUAAAAAAUCUUUCGAAAAACUCCGACGACUUCCAGAUCGUGAAAUUAGCACCGGCAUUUUUGCUAGAAUCACAUUGAUUUCUUUUGUUUAUUCUCACAAGUGUGCUUUGGAUGUUAAAGUGUAAUCAAGCUAUAAAUAAUAAAUUUUUUAUGCAAUUAUAUGUAUGUAGGCAUACAUGGCAUAUUUGAAUUUACAGUGGAUGACUACAAUGAAUUGACUACAAUUGAUGACUACGCGAAUUAUCGUAACACUAUACGACAAAAUCGACUUUUUUCUGGGUAUUGGACCAAAUAUAAAUUAUCCGGGAGUUUGAGACAUAGGUAAAGAAGGGCGUUCUUUGAUUUUCGAAAAAAAAAAUUUUCAAAAUCGAAAUAUUCUGUCAUAUAAGUUUGACCCAAUCAUUUUAUACACCACUGAAUUAAGAAGAAAAUUUGGAUUGUAUCCAUAU